UUUAGACCUUAAAUAAUGUAAAUUAUUUUAAUAAAUUUUUCUAAUUGCAGAAAAACCUUAAAAAUGGCAAUCUGCAUCUAAGAUCUAAUAGUAUAUCACAUAGUGACGAAAUAGAUAAAGUUCAAAGACUAUCCCAUAAUGGGAGUAAAUUAUAUUAUAUAAUUGAAAUGGAAAAAAUCUUCUAUAUUGGAGUAAUAGAAGGAAGAAGAAAUUAGUACAAAGGAUUUAAAUUUAAAUAUAUAGAAGAUUAAGAUAUAGUCUAAUCUUUAUGGAAAA
rnacentral:ncRNA from 1 species